rnacentral:rRNA from 1 species
CCGCGUGAGCGAAGAAGGUUUUCGGAUUGUAAAGCUUUGUUGUUAGGGAAGAAGAAGUGCCGUUCGAACAGGGCGGCGCGGUGACGGUACCUAACGAGAAAGCCCCGGCUAAAUACGUGCCAGCAGCCGCGGUAAUACGUAGGGGGCGAGCGUUGUCCGGAAUUAUUGGGCGUAAAGCGCGCGCCGGCGGUCCCUUAAGUUUGAUGUGAAAGCCCCCGGCUUAACCGUGGAGGGUCAUUGGAAACUGGGGGACUUGAGUGCAGAAGAGGAGAGCGGAAUUCCACGUGUAGCGGUGAAAUGCGUAGAGAUGUGGAGGAACACCAGUGGCGAAGGCGGCUUUUUGGUCUGUAACUGACGCUGAGGCGCGAAAGCGUGGGGAGCAAACAGGAUUAGAUACCCUGGUAGUCCACGCCGUAAACGAUGAGUGCUAAGUGUUAGAGGGGUUAUUC